rnacentral:misc_RNA from 1 species
ACCUAGCUCAAUCCCACCUCCCGUGGGCUUGGAUUUGGAUGCUUGCUGUGAGGGGCCUGACCUCUUUCGGCUCGUCUUGAAAUGCAUCAGCUGGGUCUGCCACCGAGUUUGGUGGGUGUGAUAAGAAACACUUGUAGCGCCAUUUCUAAACUCGGAGGGUGGAUUGCUUCCAAUUGUCAUGUC